rnacentral:rRNA from 1 species
ACGGGGUGCAGCAGGCGCGAAAACUGACCAAUGCGCGAAAGCGUGAGUCGGUCAAUCCGAGUGUAGACCCAUCGGUUUACUUUUGUCAUGUGUACAACGCUUGGCGAAUAAUGUGAGGGCAAGACUGGUGCCAGCCGCCGCGGUAAAACCAGCUCAUAGAGUGGUGAUCAUGAUUAUUUGGCUUAAAGUGUGCGUAGCAGGGAAUUCUAAGUCCUCUGUGAAAUGUCAGGUCUUAAGCUUGACACGUGCAGAGGAUACUGGAAUCCUUGGGACUGGGAUAGGUGUAAUGUACGGUUUGGGUAGGGGUGAAAUCCGAUAAUCCAAGCCGGACAACCGGUGGCGAAGGCGUUACACUGGAACAGGUCCGACUGUGAGGCACGAAAGCUAGGGUCGCGAGCCGGAUUAGAUACCCGGGUAGUCCUAUGCUGUAAACGAUGCUCACUAAGUGUUAGGUAAUGCAAGACAUUCUCUAGUGCCGAAGCGAAAGCGUUAAGUGAGCCGCCUGGAAG